GGAUUGUGGCUCAGUGGUAGUGUGCUUGCCUAGCAUGCACACUAGAGGCACUGGGUUCGAUUCUCAGCACCA
rnacentral:tRNA from 1 species